rnacentral:tRNA from 4 species
GGAGGAGUACCCAAGUGGUGAAGGGGUCGCACUCGAAAUGCGAUAGGUCGGCAACGGCGCGUGGGUUCAACCCCCACCUCCUCCGCCA